GAGGAAUAUUGGUCAAUGGACGCAAGUCUGAACCAGCCACGUCGCGUGAAGGAAGACGGCCCUACGGGUUGUAAACUUCUUUUGUAAGGGAAUAAAGUGUAGUACGUGUACUAUUUUGCAUGUACCUUACGAAUAAGGAUCGGCUAACUCCGUGCCAGCAGCCGCGGUAAUACGGAGGAUCCGAGCGUUAUCCGGAUUUAUUGGGUUUAAAGGGUGCGCAGGCGGGAGAUUAAGUCGGCGGUGAAAUUUUGCAGCUCAACUGUAAAAGUGCCUUCGAAACUGGUUUCCUUGAGUGUGGAUGAAGUAGGCGGAAUUUGUGGUGUAGCGGUGAAAUGCAUAGAUAUCACGAGGAACUCCGAUUGCGCAGGCAGCUUACUAAACCAUAACUGACGCUCAGGCACGAAGGCGUGGGGAUCAAACA
rnacentral:rRNA from 1 species